CCAAAGGGCAAUAAAAGACUGUCUGCCUUUUAAUCCAGCCAUAGCACUGUGGGAUUUGUACCCCAAAGAGAUAAUAAGGAAAAAUACAUAUACAAGAAUACAUAUGCAAAAAAUUGGAAAAUGAGGGAAUGCCCUUCAAUUGGGGAAUGGCUGAACAAAUUAUGGUAUUAUGUUGGUGAUGGAAUACUAUUGUGCUCAAAGGAAUAAUAAAGUGGAGGAAUUCCAUGGAGACUGGAAAGACCUCCAUGAAGUGAUGCUCAGUGAAAGGAGCAGAAACAGGAGAACAUUGUACACAGAGACUGAUACACUGUGGUCCAAUCGAACGUAAUGGACUUUUCCAUUAGUGGCAAUGCAGUGUUCCUGAACAACGCAGAGGGAUCUAUGAAAAAGAAUACUAUCCCCCUUCAGAGGAAAAACUGUUGGAGUAAACACACCAAAGAAAAACAACUGCUUGAUUACAUGGGUCGAGGAACAGCAUGUUGUGGUUCCAUGUUCUACUAAAAUUCUGAAGGGUCUCCUGUGUCAUCAAAUGUUUGACUACUCACCUGAUGGCUCCCGGCCCGACCCACCCCAGCGGUCUGUCUCUCACCCAUCUGGCCUCUGACCGAGACGGCUCAUCACCCCAGGCCCAGACCCAGGAGCAUGACCCCAGCCGGCUCAUCACCCAGAUCCUUGGAGUAGAUCACUCAGGACUCAUUGCGACCAGCUGGUCUUCCUCUGAAUGUAGAGAGUGUUCUUUCUCAUAAGUCCUUCAGAAUUGUCCUGGAUCACUGCAUUGCCACUCAUAGAGAAGUUCAUUACAUUCAAUUUACCACAAUAUAUCAGUCUCUGUGUACAAUGUUCUCCUGGUUCUGCUCCUUUCACUCUGCUUCAAUUGCUGGAGGUCAUUUCAGUUCAUAUGGAGUUCCUUCAGUUCAUUAUUCCUUUGAGCACAAUAGUAUUCCAUCACCAACACAUACCAUAAUUUGUUCAGCCAUUCCCUAAUUGGAGGGUAUACCCUCAUUUUCUAAUUCUUUGCCACCAAAAAGAGCACAGCUAUAAAUAUUUUGUAUAAGUCUAGUCCUCAUUUUUAAUACACUGAACCACCUAGCUUUACCCUAUUCUACUUCUAAAAGAGUUCUUUUCCUUUGUGAAUUUUUGUACCUCUUUUUCCAUUUGACUAGUUCCACUUUAUUUUUGCAUCUAUAGACAAGCCAAUCUUUAUAAGCCUCAGUUUCUUCAUCUAUUAAAUGAGGAAUAAGAAUAUUUCUAGUACCUUCUUUAAGUAGUUAUUAUCAUGGUCAAAUGAUAUAAUAGAGUUAAGGUGCUCCGCAGAUGUUAAAGUGUUAUGUAAAUGUCAGUUAUGGUCAUGGAGAUUUGUACUCAUAAAAUGAAACUUCUUUACUAUAAAUAUCUUAUACAUUGAUGAACAGAAGAGCUAAAAUAAUAUGAGCAGAAACAUUAUGAAAGACUAUUUUUAAGAGAAGACUACAGGAUCUUCAUAAAUGUAGGGAGGGGAGGCAUUGACAAGAGAUCUUUCAGCUGUUUUUUUUUUAAUUUGACCUUAAAAAAUUGAUUGUAUGUUCUAAUAGAGCUUAAAUAUCCAUUGUUUGGUGUCAACACCUUGUUUUUCUGUUUUUCAAGAUUUGGCUCAAAAAUAAUAUUGUAAGGAAAAGAUUAUUAUUUUAUGUUUAUAUCUUGCAAGAUUUUGCUUUCCUUGAAGAAUCAGAAAUAAGAU
rnacentral:lncRNA from 1 species